GAUGAAGGCUGGCGGCGUGCCUAAUACAUGCAAGUCGAGCGAACAGACGAGGAGCUUGCUCCUCUGACGUUAGCGGCGGACGGGUGAGUAACACGUGGAUAAUCUACCUAUAAGACUGGGAUAACUUCGGGAAACCGGAGCUAAUACCGGAUAAUAUAUUGAACCACAUGGUUCAAUAGUGAAAGACGGCUUUGCUGUAACUUAUAGAUGGAUCCGCGCCGCAUUAGCUGGUUGGUAAGGUAACGGCUUACCAAGGCGACGAUGCGUAGCCGACCUGAGAGGGUGAUCGGCCACACUGGAACUGAGACACGGUCCAGACUCCUACGGGAGGCAGCAGUAGGGAAUCUUCCGCAAUGGGGGAAAGCCUGACGGAGCAAGGCCGCGUGAGUGAUGAAGGUCUUCGGAGCGUAAAACUCUGUUAUUAGGGAAGAACAAAUGUGUAAGUAACUAUGCACGUCUUGACGGUACCUAAUCAGAAAGCCACGGCUAACUACGUG
rnacentral:rRNA from 1 species